GACGAACGCUGGCGGCGUGCUUAACACAUGCAAGUCGAACGGAAAGGCCCUGCUUUUGUGGGGUGCUCGAGUGGCGAACGGGUGAGUAACACGUGAGUAACCUGCCCUUGACUUUGGGAUAACUUCAGGAAACUGGGGCUAAUACUGGAUAGGAGCUCCUGCUGCAUGGUGGGGGUUGGAAAGUUUCGGCGGUUGGGGAUGGACUCGCGGCUUAUCAGCUUGUUGGUGGGGUAGUGGCUUACCAAGGCUUUGACGGGUAGCCGGCCUGAGAGGGUGACCGGCCACAUUGGGACUGAGAUACGGCCCAGACUCCUACGGGAGGCAGCAGUGGGGAAUAUUGCACAAUGGGCGGAAGCCUGAUGCAGCAACGCCGCGUGCGGGAUGACGGCCUUCGGGUUGUAAACCGCUUUCGCCUGUGACGAAGCGUGAGUGACGGUAAUGGGUAGAGAAGCACCGGCUAACUACGUG
rnacentral:rRNA from 1 species